UUUUGCCUACGGGGGGCAGCAGUGGGGAAUAUUGCACAAUGGGGGAAACCCUGAUGCAGCAACGCCGCGUGAGUGAAGAAGUAUUUCGGUAUGUAAAGCUCUAUCAGCAGGGAAGAAAAAAGACGGUACCUGACUAAGAAGCCCCGGCUAACUACGUGCCAGCAGCCGCGGUAAUACGUAGGGGGCAAGCGUUAUCCGGAUUUACUGGGUGUAAAGGGAGCGUAGACGGCUGUGCAAGUCUGAAGUGAAAUGCCGGGGCCCAACCCCGGAACUGCUUUGGAAACUGUUCAGCU
rnacentral:rRNA from 1 species